rnacentral:rRNA from 1 species
UACGGGGGGGGUAAGCGUUGUUCGGAAUUACUGGGCGUAAAGGGCUCGUAGGCGGCCAACUAAGUCAUACGUGAAAUCCCUCAGCUUAACUGGGGAACUGCGUGUGAUACUGGAUGGCUUGGAUUUGGGAGAGGGGUGCGGAAUUCCAGGUGUAGCGGUGAAAUGCGUAGAUAUCUGGAGGAACACCGGUGGCGAAGGCGGCAUCCUGGACCAACACUGACACUGAGGAGCGAAAGCCAGGGGAGCAAACGGG